GCUGUGGCUGCGGCUGCGGCUGCAGCGGCCCCAGGUGCAAACAGACUGCCGCCGAAUGUGAGCAGCGAGGCGAGGGGUCGAGGUAGCGAGGAGUCAGGGUGGCCCGCAGCAGGAAGACAGAAGGCGUGGAGACAGACUGGCGUUUUGCCUCAGAGGAAGAAGUGGGGUCCCCUCUCCCAUUCUGUGAGCAAGUGCCAGUUCCAGUGAUUCGUACUUUCAUGUCCGAGUUGGAAACCUUGGCCCGACGGUGAUGGACUGCACGACUUGCUGGACUCCCAAGUCCGAAGUUCCUGCGGCAGCGCUUGCUUUGUGGCGCCACCUGGAACAUAGAGAACGGUGGGGGUAAAUAAGGGGAGCCUGAAGUUUCUGCUCUGUGCUUGCGUGUUCGAAUCCCAUCGCUGAGACUUUCUUCUGCUUUGGAUCGCUUGUCCCAGGCUGACGCCGCGCUGCGACCUCUCCCCUCGUAGGAGCCUAACGCCAACCCCUGCGCCAGGCAGGGAUGGAAUCAUCAUUCUCAUUGUAUAGAUGGACACUGAGGCUCGAGAACGGAAACGACUUCUUUUGAGUUGGGUGCCUCUCCCCCCUUGCCAGGCAGCCGCCUUUCUCUGUUGCCAUAGCACAAAUCACAAGGGUAUUUAUGGUAAGCCUUAGUUGAACAGCUCCAGGUCUCCAGAAGACGGCGAGCUGGAGAGGACAAGUCUGCGCUUUGCUCUCAGACCCUUGCCCCACCGCUAGCCUGGGGCAGGAUUCCAGCCUUCGCCUAGCCGGGCGCUUUGCUCUGCCGGGCUAUUGGGCGUCCUCCGCUGCACAGAAAGCCAGCCCAGUUGGGUAUUACUGGGGAGAGGAUGCCUCCUGUCGGCAGGGAGCUAGGGUGGGCGCCCGGGUGCCCUCAGUGCGUGGCGGGGCCAGGCCCAUUUUCACUCUCCUUCCUCACUCGGGGGAUGGGAGGGCUGCAUGCGCUGCUGCUCCUACUCCUCACAGUCUCGUCGAGGGUCCCGGAGACGGGAGUUUCCGGGCCGCUGGUCCAAGAGGCAAUGCCAGUUUCGGUACCUUUGUGUUUUCGUCCCCGAAGUAGUAGCUCUAGGAACCUGCGCUUUCGAAU
rnacentral:lncRNA from 1 species